rnacentral:rRNA from 1 species
UACAGAGGUCUCAAGCGUUGUUCGGAUUCAUUGGGCGUAAAGGGUGCGUAGGCGGCGCGGUAAGUCGGGUGUGAAAUCUCGGAGCUUAACUCCGAAACUGCAUUUGAUACUGGCGUGCUUGAGGACUGGAGAGGAGACUGGAAUUCACGGUGUAGCAGUGAAAUGCGUAGAUAUCGUGAGGAAGACCAGUGGCGAAGGCGGGUCUCUGGACAGUUCCUGACACUGAGGCACGGAGGCCAGGGGAGCAAACGGG